GAGGAAUAUUGGGCAAUGCCCGCAAGGGUGACCCAGCAACGCCGCGUGGAGGAUGAAUGUCGUAAGAUUGUAAACUCCUGUUAGAGGGGAAGAAUAGUACCGGUUGGACCGGUAUAUGACUGUACCCUCAGAGAAAGCCCCGGCUAACUACGUGCCAGCAGCCGCGGUAAUACGUAGGGGGCAAGCGUUGUCCGGAUUUACUGGGUGUAAAGGGCGCGCAGGCGGGAUAAAAAGUCAGUGGUGAAGUCCUACAGCUUAACUGUAGAACUGCCUUUGAUACUUUUAUUCUUGAGUUCGGGAGAGAGAGACGGAAUUCCAGGUGUAGUGGUGAAAUACGUAGAUAUCUGGAAGAACACCAGUUGCGAAGGCGGUCUCUUGGUCCGACACUGACGCUGAGGCGCGAAAGCGUGGGGAGCAAACA
rnacentral:rRNA from 1 species